GAGUAAUGUCUGGGAAACUGCCUGAUGGAGGGGGAUAACUACUGGAAACGGUAGCUAAUACCGCAUAACGUCGCAAGACCAAAGAGGGGGACCUUCGGGCCUCUUGCCAUCGGAUGUGCCCAGAUGGGAUUAGCUAGUAGGUGGGGUAACGGCUCACCUAGGCGACGAUCCCUAGCUGGUCUGAGAGGAUGACCAGCCACACUGGAACUGAGACACGGUCCAGACUCCUACGGGAGGCAGCAGUGGGGAAUAUUGCACAAUGGGCGCAAGCCUGAUGCAGCCAUGCCGCGUGUAUGAAGAAGGCCUUCGGGUUGUAAAGUACUUUCAGCGGGGAGGAAGGGAGUAAAGUUAAUACCUUUGCUCAUUGACGUUACCCGCAGAAGAAGCACCGGCUAACUCCGUGCCAGCAGCCGCGGUAAUACGGAGGGUGCAAGCGUUAAUCGGAAUUACUGGGCGUAAAGCGCACGCAGGCGGUUUGUUAAGUCAGAUGUGAAAUCCCCGGGCUCAACCUGGGAAC
rnacentral:rRNA from 1 species